rnacentral:misc_RNA from 1 species
AACGCACAUUGCGCCCCUUGGUAUUCCGAGGGGCAUGCCUGUCCGAGCGUCAUUUCAACCCUCAAGCACAGCUUGGUCUUGGGCUUCGCCGCUAACCCGGCGGGUCUUAAAAUCAGUGGCGGUGCCGUCGGGCCCUGAGCGUAGUACAUCUCUCGCUACAGGGUCCCGGCGGACGCUGGCCAGCAACCCCCCAUUUUCUAUGGUUGACCUCGGAUCAGGUAGGGAUACCCGCUGAACUUAA